rnacentral:rRNA from 1 species
UACGUAGGGUGCGAGCGUUAAUCGGAAUUACUGGGCGUAAAGCGUGUGCAGGCGGUUUUGUAAGCCGGAUGUGAAAUCCCCGGGCUUAACCUGGGAAUGGCAUUCGGGACUGCAAGGCUGGAGUGCGGCAGAGGAGACUGGAAUUCCUGGUGUAGCAGUGAAAUGCGUAGAUAUCAGGAGGAACACCGAUGGCGAAGGCAGGUCUCUGGGCUGACACUGACGCUCAUGCACGAAAGCGUGGGGAGCAAACAGG